CAAUCUUAAAAAUUCAAAUUAGGGUAAAAUUGAUUGAAUAAUUUAAAAAUAAAUAGAGGGAUUAAAUCCUAGUUUUGAGGUCAGCCCACCAGAAUCUGUCAUCUAUGUGUGAACUGUUACAUGACACAUGUUACAAUUUAUUAUCCAGUUCUUGAUUGCAAUUUAUAUAAUAUAAGUGGAAUGAUGACUUGCGAAAAGUCGCCGACUGAAGUUUGGCUUGCCAAAUCCAAGAAUCAUUGUACCGGUUCAUUCCCUCGUCGAAAGGCAAACCUUUGCUGAUGAUGAACGGGUUCACAUAUUCACAGCAAGCUCAGUCCCUGAACUACUACUGUUCAAAGAAAAAUAAUGGUUGUAGAGCGAGAAUAAAACUAACUGCAGAAGGAGCGAUAAAAGAAGCCAUUUGCAACCACAUUCAUCCUCCACCAAAAUAUAUAGUGACGAUAACAGGAGAUUAUGUGAAGUUGUGAAGUUACAUACAUUUUAGCUGUGGGCUGUGGCAAAAGUGUUACGUAAUCUACCAGCUAGUCCCAAUAAAGGAGUGAAAGUUGUAAAAAAUAGCUCCACCUGCGGAAUUACAAAUUGCUACAAGUGACAAAAUUAACUAACCUAAGCCUUGAAAACGGUACGAUGAAGGAAUACAACUGAUUUGUGACUUUUACCACGGGGAUGACAUUAACAGACAAAUGCCAGGCAUGAAAGAUGUGAAAACAGUCAAGUCGAAUGCGGGAAUGAAGUUACGAAUGC